GAUGAAGAACGCAGUGAACUGCGAUAAGUAAUGUGAAUUGCAGAAUUCAGUGAAUCAUCGAGUCUUUGAACGCACAUUGUGCCCCCUGGCAUUCCGGGGGGCAUGCCUGUCCGAGCGUCAUUGCUGCCCUUCAAGCCCGGCUUGUGUGUUGGGUCGUCGUCCCCCCCGGGGGACGGGCCCGAAAGGCAGCGGCGGCACCGCGUCCGGUCCUCGAGCGUAUGGGGCUUUGUCACCCGCUCGAUUAGGGCCGGCCGGGCGCCAGCCGGCGUCUCCAACCUUCUAUUUUACCAGGUUGACCUCGGAUCAGGUAGGGAUACCCGCUGAACUUAAGCAUAUCAAUAAGCGGAGGA
rnacentral:misc_RNA from 1 species